CAAUAGCGUAUAUUAAAGUUGUUGCAGUUAAAAAGCUCGUAGUUGGAUUUCUGGGUCAAGCUCCUGGUCCGCCGCUAUGCGGUGCCGACUGUGUGUAGCGUUGAUUCAUCCUUGUGGGAAUUCCAGUUUGGGCUUCGUUGUCCGGCUGGCGGAACCGCAUCUUUUACUGUGAAAAAAUUAGAGUGUUCAAAGCAGGCUUACGCUGUGAAUACAUUAGCAUGGAAUAAUACGAUAGGACUUUGGUUCUAUUUUGUUGGUUGGAGACCAAGGUAAUGAUUAAUAGGGAUAGUUGGGGGUAUUCAUAUUUAAUUGUCAGAGGUGAAAUUCUUGGAUUUAUGAAAGAUGAACUUAUGCGAAAGCAUUUACCAAGGAUGUUUUCAUUA
rnacentral:rRNA from 1 species